rnacentral:rRNA from 1 species
GACGAACGCUGGCGGCGUGCUUAACACAUGCAAGUCGAACGGGAUCCAUGCUCAACACCGAGCAAUUGGGAAGGUCAGACAAAUCGGAACAGAGGGGAGCUUGAGUUAUCAGGCACUGACGGGAAGAGAAAACUGAGGCCCAAUGUUGGGUGUUGAGCGUGGUGAGAGUGGCGGACGGGCGAGUAACGCGUGAGCAACCUGCCCUAUGCAGGGGGAUAACAUCGGGAAACCGGUGUUAAUACCGCAUAAGAUCACACUGUCGCAUGGCAGAGUGAUAAAAGCUCCGGCGGCAUAGGAUGGGCUCGCGUCCAAUUAGCUAGUUGGUGAGGUAAAGGCUCACCAAGGCGACGAUUGGUAGCCGAACUGAGAGGUUGGUCGGCCGCAUUGGGACUGAGACACGGCCCAGACUCCUACGGGAGCAGCAGUGGGGAAUAUUGCGCGAAUGGGGGAAACCCUGACGCAGCGACGCCGCGUGAAGGAAG